rnacentral:lncRNA from 1 species
GAUCAGAUGCCAACCAUGUGAAGUGCCCAGAGGCAACUCCAAAACACCCGGCCCACCAGCGGGUAGAGGCUGCCAAGGAGCCAGAUGCUGUAGCUUUAAAAAUAUCUUCAGCUGCUUGGCAUGUGCAGUUGCAGGCUGGUGCCUGGGAGAAGGAGCAGGCCAGGUCUGGGACAGCCAGGCCGGCCGGCGGCAGCAACCCGCCUGUAUGUAAUGGAGAGCGCCUCUAGCCACAGGGCUGCCCAUUUGGCCUUGUUAAAUCACCCCCAGCAUAUGGGCUGGAGGGAACUGCAUUCUUCUGGCCGCUGUUUGAGUCCAAUUACAAUGCAGCCUCACUUGCAAUGGAUAAAAAUGUGAAUCGUGGAAGGCUGACUUCUAGGAUUCCGAAAAAGGCAAAAUGGAGAAACUGGGCCACUCCGUGUUGCUGGAUCAAGCCAUAACUGAAGACAGUGCUACCUUUGGACUUUUUACUU